GCCAGCAUGGCAUAGUGGUUUGAGUGUUGGAUGGUGAGUCUAGAGACCAGGGUUCAAUUCCCAGCUCAGGCA